UACGUAGGCAGCGAGCGUUGUUCGGAGUUACUGGGCGUAAAGCGUGCGUAGGCGGUGUCCUAAGUCUGUUGUGAAAUCUCCCGGCUCAACUGGGAGGGUGCGGCGGAAACUGGGAUGCUGGAGUACGGGAGAGGUAAGCGGAAUUCCUGGUGUAGCGGUGAAAUGCGUAGAUAUCAGGAGGAACACCUGCGGUGUAGACGGCUUACUGGACCGUAACUGACGCUGAGGCACGAAAGCGUGGGUAGCAAACAGG
rnacentral:rRNA from 2 species